rnacentral:lncRNA from 1 species
CGACGUUGGACCAGAACGUGCUGUUAGUGGCGGUGGAGGAGGAGGAGGAUGGCGGCGGCGGCGACGGCGACGAGGGAGCAGGAGAUGGCGCCGCCGACGUUUGGCAGUGGACCAACGUGAACCGGCUGUCCAUGGACAUUACGAAGGUAGAGAGGCUCGCCACCAUGGCAAGGAGGAGCAGGCAACGGCCCUGGCGGUGGCCGGAUGGAGACGACGGCAUGGGUGGUGUUCUGAUCGAGGAAGUAGCUAGGAAGUUAACGGCAGUGGGUGAUCAUGGCAGCCUGAGUGGUCAUCACAGUUGGAUGCAUGAUUGGCGUAGACAGGCCAUUUGGCGAAGACUUGACUUGACUUCACGGUAUACUGAUAAUGGCAUGAUUUGUUCGGUGGACCUUCUCCAUCCCUGUAGAAUGCAGAGUCGUCGGGCGUCAGGUUGCAUGCAGAUGCACUUGCAGGUUGAUGUAAGUAGUGGUUCAUACAUUGAUAUGAUUGCUAUUAGAUUGAGACAGUAGUAACUAAUUUGUUCAGUUUCAUCACUUCAUGGAGAAUAGGGUGUUAGGAAUGCACUAACCAUUAUUUUACUGCACCUUUUAUCUAAUCAGUGUAAAUUUCAUUUUCUAUUCUUUUCUACUAUCUCAGGUCUAAGAAACUAGCAGGUGUACCACUUGAAACCAACUUAUGACACAUACAAAAUAACAAUCUUAACGGUGUCUCUGGGUCGGUCAAUCCAACACCAUGUUCACUAACAUGUGUUCAUAUUAUUAAUCUGAUAUCUCUAUAUCUAGGAUCCAUGAAAGGUGAUCAUCAAUUAAUAAAUGUGCUAGUCUGUGUGUCAUUAUUGUCCCACAUAAUGAUAUAGACUAGGAAUCGUUUAGAAUAACAUGAUAAUCAACAAAGAGUUCCAUGAACCAGUCACAUACUUGAUAAUCAGUGUAAAUGAUAGUUACUCAAGGAACAAAUAACACUUUAUUCAAUAGUACAUAAAUAUAGUCAUGAUACAAAUCUUCCACACACACUAGGAUCGUUGAUGCAAGUAUCUAAUACUCAUAUAUUUGUUGUGCACUCCGCCGCCUCAUGCACUGCAUCAGCCCGUACAUGGUUCCGUUGGGGACGCCGGGGUCAUACACGGCCUCCCCUGUCGCGAACAUCGGCACCUCCGGGAAGGAGGCCGGCGCGGUGUCGCCGGAGCCGUUGACGACGCACGCGGCGAGCCGCAUCAUGAGCGUGUAGUAUGUGUUCUCGAAGGUGCCCUUGUCACGGGCCUACCCCGUGUUAUGCAUUUCGUAGCGGUACUGCUCGUAGGGCGUGGACGUGUUGGUGUCGGCAAAGAUGACGAAGCAGAACAUCGGCGCUGGAUAUGUCACGGUGGAGCCAUCGUCGUACCAGAUGGCGGCGCGGCGGCUGUUGCUGUUGCACUGGCUCCGGAUGCCCAUGGCGGCGCUCCGGAAUGCGACGACGUUGGACCAGAACGUGCUGUUAGUGGCGGACCAAGGUACUAAAUAGCGGCGGUAGCGGCCGCAAUAGCGGUAGCGGCCUAUUGCCGCUAUCGCUACUAGGUAGCGGUCGGGCUGUUGCGGUUUGGAACUUUGCGACUGCAAUUGCGCUAUAGCGGGCCACAAUAGCGGUGGUAGUAGGCUGCAAUAGCGUGGAACCAAAAAAACCCUCCCAACCUACCCACACAGACUCCACCAGUGCACCCCCAUCGGUCAUUCGGCCUUGCCAUUCAGAACACGCCGCCGCCACCCGUGUUGGUUGCCCGCCGCCGCCACCCUUCACCGGUGCCGCCACCCUUCGCCAGCGCCGCCGAUUCACGUACUCGAGCUCCUCCUGAUCCUCAUGGACCUCCGUCGUCUUACACUCUUAAUUUAAGCAUGUGAGACAUGUAUGCAAUUAAAUAUCUAUUUACACUUAUUAUUCAUGAUAUAUAUAUAAUUAAAAUUAUGUGAGAUUAUUAGGUGCCGCUAUUGAAACUUAUCGUCCGCAAUAUCGCUCGCUAUCCGCAAUCCGCUACCUCGACGUCAAUCCGCUACUAACCCGCUAUUCGCUAUUUAUUACGGUGGUGGAGGAGGAGAAUGGCGGCGGCAACGACGGCGACGAGGGAGCAGGAGAUGGCGCCGCUGACGUUUGGCAGUGGACCAAUGUGAACCGGCUGUCCAUGGACAUUACGAAGGUAGAGAGGCUCGCCACCAUGGCAAGGAGGAGCAGGCAACGGCCCUGGCGGUGGCCGGAUGGAGACGACAGCAUGGGUGGUGUUCUGAUUGAGGAAGUAGCUA